UAUUUCUUUAAAUUACCAACUUCUUUGUUAAAUACAAAAAAAUAACAAUAUAAAAUUGCUUGGCGUUCUGCGUAAAUGGUUUAUUUUUUGCAUUAUUGUUUUUUGAUACGAAGCUUGCUAUAGUUUAACAUUUGUUUUCUGUUUACCAGGUUUAACAUUUUUCUUUUCAGGCUUCUUUAUUGGUAUAAAAUCUCAUUCGGCGAUUCAGUGAUGGAAAUAUUAUUUUAGAAAUUUACGCAAAUAUUGCAAGACGAAACCCUUAUCUUGCUUCACUUACUGCAAAAGGUUGUCUUAUAAUCCGUACAUGGUAUGUUAACAUUUAUUCUGGAAAGACAGCAUGGACUUAACCAAUUUUCUGUACACUUUGACAUUUGGGUUAUUCCUGCUUCUAAUUCACGGGGCUAUAAAGUCGUUAUGGGAGUCAUUCUUUACUUACACAUACUACACUAUUGCCGUUGAAUCCGCCGACAAACCAUGUGAAUUUCACGUGGGUACAAUCCAUAUUAAACUUGUUGGAGAAGAUGGCAGUAUUGGCAAAGAGGUUGAGUUAGCCGCUGAUGAAUUUCCAGAAAAGUUUAUAAGAUGUUACAAACACAUUUUUAAAGUAAAAAGUCAAUCGGUAAGAUCAUUAACAACGUUUAUACCUGCACACAUCUGUAUUCGUUUUUAACGUGUCCUAUUAUCGUACCUAAGAGUUUAUCUCUGAUACUUCAUCACGAAUAAAAAUACCAUUAAAUGUCAAAUGUUAUCAUACCACAUUCACAAUUUGACAAUAAGUCUUAAAAAGACGAUAGAAAGUACCCUUAAAAUAUUGUAUUGAAGUCAUGCAAUGGUACGCCUUUAUUCUGCUU